ACCUGGGUGGCUUAGUCGGUUAAGCGUCUGACUUCAACUCAGGUCGUGAUCUCACGGUCUGUUGGUUCGAGCCCUGCGUCGGGCU
rnacentral:tRNA from 1 species